rnacentral:rRNA from 1 species
AGCGUACACGGUGGAUGCCUUGGCAGUCAGAGGCGAUGAAGGACGUAUUAACUUGCGAUAAGCCCAGAUUAGGUAGUAAAAACCAUUUGAGUCUGGGAUUUCCGAAUGGGGAAACCCACUUACAUAAGUAAGUAUCGCUGCGUGAAUACAUAGCGCAGCGAGGCGAACCGGGGGAACUGAAACAUCUAAGUACCCCGAGGAAAAGAAAUCAACCGAGAUUCCGAAAGUAGCGGCGAGCGAAAUUGGACUAGCCCUUAAGCUUUUUAUGCGUCAGGUGAAACUUCUGGAAAGUUGUGCGAUACAGGGUGAUAGCCCCGUAACCGGCAACGCAUUUAAAGUGAAAUCGAGUAGGGCGGGACACGUGAUAUCCUGUCUGAAUAUGGGGGGACCAUCCUCCAAGGCUAAAUACUACUGACUGACCGAUAGUGAACCAGUACCGUGAGGGAAAGGCGAAAAGAACCCCUGUGAGGGGAGUGAAAUAGAACCUGAAACCGUGUACGUACAAGCAGUAGGAGCACCUUCGUGGUGUGACUGCGUACCUUUUGUAUAAUGGGUCAGCGACUUAUAUUCAGUGGCAAGGUUAACCAUCUAGGGGAGCCGUAGGGAAACCGAGUCUUAACUGGGCGUUCAGUCUCUGGAUAUAGACCCGAAACCAGGUGAUCUAGCCAUGGGCAGGUUGAAGGUUGAGUAACAUCAACUGGAGGACCGAACCGACUAAUGUUGAAAAAUUAGCGGAUGACUUGUGGCUAGGGGUGAAAGGCCAAUCAAACCUGGAGAUAGCUGGUUCUCCCCGAAAGCUAUUUAGGUAGCGCCUCGGACGAAUACUACUGGGGGUAGAGCACUGUUAAGGCUAGGGGGUCAUCCCGACUUACCAACCCUUUGCAAACUCCGAAUACCAGUAAGUACUAUCCGGGAGACACACGGCGGGGGCUAACGUCCGUCGUGGAGAGGGAAACAACCCAGACCGCCAGCUAAGGUCCCAAAUUACUACUAAGUGGGAAACGAUGUGGGAAGGCUCAGACAGCCAGGAUGUUGGCUUAGAAGCAGCCAUCAUUUAAAGAAAGCGUAAUAGCUCACUGGUCGAGUCGGCCUGCGCGGAAGAUGUAACGGGGCUAAGUAGUAAACCGAAGCUGCGGCAAUGCACUUUAGUGCAUUGGGUAGGGGAGCGUUCUGUAAGCGGUUGAAGGUGUGUGGUAACGCAUGCUGGACGUAUCAGAAGUGCGAAUGCUGACAUGAGUAACGAUAAAGGGGGUGAAAAACCUCCUCGCCGGAAGACCAAGGGUUCCUGUCCAACGUUAAUCGGGGCAGGGUAAGUCGACCCCUAAGGCGAGGCCGAAAGGCGUAGUCGAUGGGAAACGGGUUAAUAUUCCCGUACUUCUUACAAUUGCGAUGGGGGGACGGAGAAGGCUAGGUGGGCCUGGCGACGGUUGUCCAGGUUCAAGUGCGUAGGCUUAAGAGUUAGGUAAAUCCGGCUCUUUUUAAGGCUGAGACACGACGUCGAGCUACUACAGUAGUGAAGUCAUUGAUGCCAUGCUUCCAGGAAAAGCCUCUAAGCUUCAGAUUGUAAGGAAUCGUACCCCAAACCGACACAGGUGGUCGGGUAGAGAAUACCAAGGCGCUUGAGAGAACUCGGGUGAAGGAACUAGGCAAAAUGGUACCGUAACUUCGGGAGAAGGUACGCUCUCGACGGUGAAGUCCCUUGCGGAUGGAGCUAUUGAGAGUCGCAGAUACCAGGUGGCUGCAACUGUUUAUUAAAAACACAGCACUGUGCAAAAUCGUAAGAUGACGUAUACGGUGUGACGCCUGCCCGGUGCCGGAAGGUUAAUUGAUGGGGUUAGACUUCGGUCGAAGCUCUUGAUCGAAGCCCCGGUAAACGGCGGCCGUAACUAUAACGGUCCUAAGGUAGCGAAAUUCCUUGUCGGGUAAGUUCCGACCUGCACGAAUGGCGUAAUGAUGGCCACGCUGUCUCCACCCGAGACUCAGUGAAAUUGAAAUCGCUGUGAAGAUGCAGUGUACCCGCGGCUAGACGGAAAGACCCCGUGAACCUUUACUACAGCUUGGCACUGAACAUUGACCCUACAUGUGUAGGAUAGGUGGGAGGCUUUGAAGCACAGUCGCUAGAUUGUGUGGAGCCGUCCUUGAAAUACCACCCUUGUAGUGUUGAUGUUCUAACGUUGACCCCUAAUCGGGGUUGCGGACAGUGCCUGGUGGGUAGUUUGACUGGGGCGGUCUCCUCCCAAAGCGUAACGGAGGAGCACGAAGGUGGGCUAAUCACGGUUGGACAUCGUGAGGUUAGUGCAAUGGCAUAAGCCCGCUUGACUGCGAGAAUGACGGUUCGAGCAGGUGCGAAAGCAGGUCAUAGUGAUCCGGUGGUUCUGAAUGGAAGGGCCAUCGCUCAACGGAUAAAAGGUACUCCGGGGAUAACAGGCUGAUACCGCCCAAGAGUUCAUAUCGACGGCGGUGUUUGGCACCUCGAUGUCGGCUCAUCACAUCCUGGGGCUGAAGUCGGUCCCAAGGGUAUGGCUGUUCGCCAUUUAAAGUGGUACGCGAGCUGGGUUUAGAACGUCGUGAGACAGUUCGGUCCCUAUCUGCCGUGGGCGUUGGAAGAUUGAAGGGGGCUGCUCCUAGUACGAGAGGACCGGAGUGGACGAACCUCUGGUGUUCGGGUUGUGUCGCCAGACGCAUUGCCCGGUAGCUAAGUUCGGAAUCGAUAACCGCUGAAAGCAUCUAAGCGGGAAGCGAGCCCUGAGAUGAGUCUUCCCUGAUACUUUAAGUAUCCUAAAGGGUUGU